GGCUUACAACACUGAACUCAACAACACAGCUGAGUAGAGUGGCCAAGCCUGCUGAUAUUCUUCGUUUCGUUUUGUAUUUACUUUCGUGUUAAAUUCGUUGAGUGAUUGCUCUGGAUUUGGCGAGAACUGUUUCAUCACGGUAUACACACGGACCUCAAUCCCUCGAUGGUGGAAUACAAAGGCAACAGUUGAGAUCGAAGGAAAUUCUUUGCUCCAAAGCCGUGCCCUCGGCCUACAUUCAGGUGCAAGAUUUCAAAGAACACGUCCUUGCUAAAAGUCAUAUAGUCAAUAUGUCCUACAUAAGACGGCUGUAAUACGGAUGUACAGGGAUGACCGGGACCUAUAUGAUUCCAUUCAAGAUUCCAAACGAAACCAAUGUGAUUUGGUGUUCGUUGUAGAACAAAUUUCGGGACGCCACCCAGUGUGGUGGGGGUUGGCUGCCUCCCAUAAUCCUUUCGGGGCUUCAUACGACAUGCAAUAUCACUUGCAAGCCUCUGCCCUGGAGGAUAUCGGGGUAAUGGAGUCAUCAGUUCUGGAAGUGCUAUUCCGAGCACAUUGUCUCUUAUCGUGACGGUGUCAGCGAUGGUCAGAAUAAUGUGUUGAGGGGAAUUUCUGCGGCCUGCAGCAAGAUGCACACUAAUCGCAGGAUGUAUCACACGGCUUCUUUCCCAACUGGCCUUCUAUCUCAGCACAAUGGAUAUAACAAUGCGGAUCCGGCGAUCAGCGUACCAAUGUCCACACCAAUGAAACGCAGUUCUUUCUGGCUGGGACGGGCAACCUGUAUAUUGAUCUCCUACAGCAAUUGAUGUACAAUCUAUGUCACAUGUUUCCACGUUGCUACCGCGCCGAAUCGUAUCCGGACUCGCGCCAAAAAUCCACCAAGCUGAUGCCCAGAGUCACCCAGCAAUAAAAGAAAUGUUGCCUCUGGUUUUGAAGCCACAAAAUCCAUCAACAUUUUUUGCCUGACUUCCACAAAUGAGGUGCUGUCCUACUUAUCAUAUCUAAGGCCUAAUGAGCAGAAUUGAAAUUACCCACAUAAACGGAUAUAAAUAUGUUACAUUUAAAUUCGACAUGCCAAGGAUCUCUGGGAUGUGUGUGCUAGAUGUAGAUGCUUGUAGGAAAUUCCCUGGACUUGUUAGCCUCUGCAUCGAUAGAUGUCGGGUUCUGCAUUCAGGCCAUUAACAAUUCAUUGUAGAUUUUAGCUUUGUUUUCUGUUCCUGACUUUUAACACAGGAUAUGAGUAUUAUAUUACGUAAAUUUAGAAAAUGCACUUUAUGUUUUAGAGAUAAACAUUUUCAUUUCGAAAUUCCUUCAAAGGCAAAUAUUAUUUUAAGCAAUUUUCUUCGCACA